UGGGGAAUAUUGGACAAUGGGCGCAAGCCUGCUCCAGCCAUGCCGCGUGAGUGAUGAAGGCCCUAGGGUUGUAAAGCUCUUUCACCGGUGAAGAUAAUGACGGUAACCGGAGAAGAAGCCCCGGCUAACUUCGUGCCAGCAGCCGCGGUAAUACGAAGGGGGCUAGCGUUGUUCGGAUUUACUGGGCGUAAAGCGCACGUAGGCGGACUUUUAAGUCAGGGGUGAAAUCCCGGGGCUCAACCCCGGAACUGCCUUUGAUACUGGAAGGCUUGAGUAUGGUAGAGGUGAGUGGAAUUCCGAGUGUAGAGGUGAAAUUCGUAGAUAUUCGGAGGAACACCAGUGGCGAAGGCGGCGCACUGGACCAUUACUGACGCUGAGGUGCGAAAGCGUGGGGAGCAAACAGG
rnacentral:rRNA from 1 species